rnacentral:rRNA from 1 species
GAGGAAUAUUGGUCAAUGGGCGCAAGCCUGAACCAGCCAUCCCGCGUGCAGGAAGACGGCCCUAUGGGUUGUAAACUGCUUUUCCAGGGAGAGAAACUUGCGCACGUGUUGCGCAAUUGACGGUACCCUGGGAAUAAGCAUCGGCUAACUCCGUGCCAGCAGCCGCGGUAAUACGGAGGAUGCGAGCGUUAUCCGGAUUCAUUGGGUUUAAAGGGUGCGUAGGCGGACUAUUAAGUCAGUGGUGAAAUCCUGCAGCUUAACUGCAGAAUUGCCAUUGAUACUGAUAGCCUUGAGUUUGGUUAAGGUAGGCGGAAUGUGUAAUGUAGCGGUGAAAUGCUUAGAUAUUACACAGAACACCAAUUGCGUAGGCAGCUUACUGAGCCGACACUGACGCUGAGGCACGAAAGCGUGGGGAUCGAACAG